GUGUCAGCCGCCGCGGUAAUACGUAGGGUGCGAGCGUUGUCCGGAAUUACUGGGCGUAAAGAGCUCGUAGGUGGUUUGUCGCGUCGUCUGUGAAAUUCCGGGGCUUAACUCCGGGCGUGCAGGCGAUACGGGCAUAACUUGAGUGCUGUAGGGGAGACUGGAAUUCCUGGUGUAGCGGUGAAAUGCGCAGAUAUCAGGAGGAACACCGAUGGCGAAGGCAGGUCUCUGGGCAGUAACUGACGCUGAGGAGCGAAAGCAUGGGUAGCGAACAGGAUUAGAUACCCUGGUAGUCCAUGCCGUAAACGGUGGGCGCUAGGUGUGGGGGUCUUCCACGACUUCUGUGCCGUAGCUAACGCAUUAAGCGCCCCGCCUGGGGAGUACGGCCGCAAGGCUAAAACUCAAAGGAAUUGACGG
rnacentral:rRNA from 1 species